UUUUUACUCUCUCCGACCCAUAUUACUUGUCUCAAAUUUGUUCAAAUUUGGAUGUAUCUAUGUUUAAAAAGCGUCUAGAUACAUGUAAUAUUUCGACAAGUAAUAUGGGUCGGAGAAAGUACUUG
rfam:Brachypodium distachyon strain Bd21 chromosome 3, whole genome shotgun sequence.